AAGUGGAGUUAGCUUUUUCUUGAUUUCUUUGUGGCAUUUUAUCAAACACAUAGUGGAUGGUAAUAAAGCCCACUCUUUCAAGCUAAACACACCUACAAAAUACUUAUAAUUGUCAACAAUAUUACUAAUUCUUGCACAGAGAAUUAAUGUGGAGUUGUCAUCACCAUCUACUUUGCGUUUGUGGUUAUGUCUUUGAUUAGAAAAUGCAUAAGAACUGAACCAUCAUCCUUUACGGUUCUAAAUCUGUUGAGAGAGAGCAGAUGCAUAAAACACCUUGAACAAGUUCAUACCCACAUAAUACAAAAGGGUUAUGAGCAAGACCAUUUUAUCAUUAACCAGUUUAUAUCCCUCUGUAAUGUGUUUUCGUAUGAUAUAUCUUAUGCUACAAGUGUGUUUGAGCAUGUUAUUCAGCCUAAUGUUUAUGUAUGGAAUACAUUGAUUAAAGGGUAUAGCAAAAAAUCAUCUCUUGUUGAUUGUUUCGUAGUCUUGAGACAAAUGAGAAGAACUGUGAAUGUGAAACCUGAUGAAUUUACUUUUCCGUCGUUGGUCAAAUCUUGUUCUAAUGUGUUUGCUUUGAGGGAAGGUAAGAUUAUUCAUGGGUUGUUAGUGAGAUAUGGGAUUGAUAGUGAUGUGUUUGUAGGAUCUAGUUUGAUUGAUCUUUAUGGGAAGUGCAAAGAGAUUGAGUAUGCACGAAGAAUCUUUGAUGAAAUUCCUCUGAAGAAUGAGGUUAUAUGGACUGCGAUGAUCGUUGGAUAUGUAUAUGUUGGUGAUAUAUCAGAAGCAAGGAAGUUAUUCGAUGAAAUGCCACAGAGAAAUGUAGCUUCGGGGAAUGCAAUGAUUAGGGCAUUCAUGAAGUUUGGUGAUUUGUCUGGUGCGAAGAAAUUGUUUGAUAGUAUGCCUUAUAAGGAUGUGGUAUCUUUUACUACUAUGAUUGAUGGUUAUGCUAAGGCUGGUGACAUGGCAUCAGCGAGGUUUCUGUUUGAUAGGUCUUCUGAUAGAGACAUAAUUUUGUGGUCUGCUUUGAUGUCUGGGUAUGCUCAGAACGGGCAACCCAAUGAAGCUGUCAAAAUAUUUCACGAGAUGUUGUCAAUGAAUGUUAGGCCAGAUGAGUUUAUAAUGGUAAGUUUGAUGUGUGCCUGUUCCCAGUUAGGUCGUCUGGACCUAGCAAAUUGGGUAGAACAUUAUAUGAGCCAAAAUUCUUUUGAUCUUAAUCAAGUACAUAUAGCUUCGGCCCUCGUGGAUAUGAAUGCUAAGUGUGGGAAUAUGGAAAGGGCAAAAAUGUUGUUUGAGGGGAUGCCUAAGCGUGAUCUAGUAUCAUAUUGUUCGAUGAUACAAGGGCUGUCUAUUCAUGGUUGCGGUUCUCAGGCUAUAGAUUUCUUUGAUAGGAUGCUGAACGAGGGUCUUGUGCCUGAUGAUGUUUCCCUAAAGAUAAUUCUGACAGCUUGUAGUCGUGCAGAACUUGUUAAGGAGGGUUUCCGGAUCUUCAGUCUAAUGACAACCAAAUACUCUGUCAAGCUAUCUCCAGAUCAUUAUGCAUGCGUAGUAGACCUUCUUGGAAGAUCAGGAAAGCUUCAAGACGCAUAUGAACUUAUAAAGUCGAUGCCUGUUGAACCUCAUGCCGGUGCCUGGGGUGCACUUCUUGGGGCUUGUAAGCUACACUGUGACAUUGAGGUUGGGGAGGAGAUAUCGAAUAGACUUUUUGAACUAGAGCCUCAAAAUACGGGUAAUUAUGUGAUUUUGUCAGACAUCUAUGCUGCAGCAAAUAGGUGGUUAGAUGUUGCACUGUUGCGUCAAAAGAUGAGUGAGAAGGGUCUUAGGAAGAUACCUGGUUGCAGCAGUUGGGAGACAAAUGAUGGAAUAUUUUCCUUAAUUAGGUGAAAAAUGACAAGGUUUGAGUGACAUUCUUUAUUAGUAAAUGCAUUUUGAAAAGUUGGGAAUCAACUGAUUACUCUGCAGAAGGAAAGGAUAGUUGACAUUUCUGAAUGGAACCCAUCUCCCAAUUACUUCUCUUUUGCUAUGUCCUUUCGUCCCCAACAUGAACACUCCUCCAUUACCAGGUUCUUUAAAAUGGAAGAUCGAAAACGGGCUCUUGUGAGCAGAUUGUUGCAGUAUGCACUGAUACAUCAAGUCUUGGGGAUCCCAUAUAACAAAAUUGUCAUCAGGCGCACUGCUGAGGGGAAACCAUACCUGUUAUAUUUAGAACGUAGUCAGUCGAUAUCUUCGCAUUUGCAAUAUCGUUAAUCCUAUCCUCUUCUAGGAAUAUGACAAACUGAAGUUGGAGUUGCCAAAUUUUAACUUCAAUGCAUCACAUCAUGGUGAUUUGUGGCUAUUGCUUCUGAACCAAUAUGCCUUGUGGGAUUGGAUGUUGCUUCUCAAACCAUCCCUGAGAAAGAAUCAGUGAAAGAAUCCAUUCAGAGCUUCUCAUCAUACUUCUCAACGCUGGAAUGGUUUAAUAUAAUCAAUGCUGGCUCUUCUCGUCAGAUUUUGAGUGAGUUUUAUAGGCAUCAAUAGCUAGGGGUCACCCUAUGUAUGCCACCAGCAGUUACAAGACAACGUUGAAUCGGACAAAGUUCAAUGACGAGGAAUACAAUUUAGGACUUCAUCUUCCUAAUGCAAGAUUCAUUUUCC